GGUUUUUAGAAAUUAUUAAAAAUCAAGCCUGCUCAAUGCUUAGUAAAUAGCCGCGGUAUCCUGACCGUGCAAAGGUAGCAUAAUAAUUAGCCUUAUAAUUGAAGGCUAGAAUGAAUGGUUUAACUAAAUUUCAUUGUCUCAUAAUAAUAUCUUUAAUUUUAUAUUUUAGUAAAAAAGCUAAAAUGUAUUUUAGGGACGAGAAGACCCUAUCGAGCUUUACAAAAAAAAUAACUCUUUCACAAAGUUAUUUUUUUUUGUUAUACUGGGGCAGUAAAAAAUAAAAAUAUUUAUUUAAAUAUUGUAAAUUAUAAUUUUUGUCAAACCAAAAAAUUUUUAAAAAAAAAUAAGUUACCGUAGGGAUAACAGCGUAAUUUUUCUUAAGAGAACAUAUUAGCAGAAAAGUUUGCGACCUCGAUGUUGGAUUAAGAAUCCUAUUUUAUGCAACAGUAAAAAAAGGAAGUCUGUUCGACUUUUAAACUCUUCCA
rnacentral:rRNA from 1 species